UUACUUUAGGUUUAAUUGUUUUUUAUUGUUGGGUUAUUGUAAUGUCAUUUUGGUUUUAGUAUAUUAUUGUGAUAUAAUUUUUUUUUUGUUCUGUGAAGGGUUCUGUAUAGUUUUGAUAAGUUGAUUGGUGAUUGUACCUUGUGUAUCAGGGUUUGUUAAUUUUUAAUAUUUAUUUUGUGUUUCCCGAAACUUAAAGAGUUACUUUGUUAUGAGGUUCUUUGUGGUAAAAAGGUCUUAAAUAUCAAGGUGGUAGUGAAAUGUUAGUCGUUUUUGGUGAUAUCUGGUUUCCUAAGAAAUAAAUUUAAUUUGGCAGUUUAAUAUUUAUUUUCUUUAUUGGGGAGAAUAUAAUAAUUUAAUUGUAUUUUUAAGGGGGAUUAGCUCUUUUUAAUAUUUUUAUAAUAUUUUUAUUUGGUGGAAAUUUGUUGGUUUUGUAUUAACUAUUAUUGAUGAUUAUGUUGAAAUUUUACUUUUCUUUAUUUUUAUUUUGUUUUAUUUAAUUGUUUAUUAGGAUAGAUUUUUUAAUUUUUAUUGUUUUUUAAUAAUGAUGGAAUUAGUAUAUUUUAUUAAUAUUUUGUUUUAAAGUGUUUUAAUUAUCUUAAAGUAACUAGGCAAAAUUUUGAGUUUUUGUCUGUUUAUCAAAAACAUUUCCUAUUGGUUUUAUAUUAGGUAUGACCUGCCCACUGAUGUUUUAAAUGGCCGCGGUAAUUUGACCGUGCGAAGGUAGCAUAAUCAUUAGUCUUUUAAUUGUUGACUUGUAUGAAUGGUUGCACAAGAAACUUGCUGUCUUUAUUUUAUUUUUUGAAAUUAAAUACUAGGUGAAAAUGCUUAGAUAUUUAUAUGGGACGAGAAGACCCUAUAGAGUUUAAUUUUUCUGGUGGUUUUUUUGUUUGUUUUUAUAUUUAACUGCUAGUAGUAUUUUGUUGGGGUGAUUGAAAGAUUUAUUUAACUCUUUUUUUUUCUUAUUAUUUAUUUAUAAUUUUUUGAUCCUUUAUUAUGGAUUAUUAGAUAAAAUUACCUUAGGGAUAACAGCGUAAUCCUUCUUGAGAGUUCUUAUUGAUGGUAGGGGUUGCGACCUCGAUGUUGGAUUAAGAUAACUCUAUGGUGCAGUUUUUAUAGGAAGUGGGUCUGUUCGACCCUUAAUAUCUUACAUGAUCUGAGUUCAAACCGGCGUGAGCCAGGUUGGUUUCUAUCUAUCAAUUAAAUGUUUUAGUACGAAAGGACCAUACAUUUUUAAUAAUUAUUUUUAAUUUGAUUUAUAUUAAAUUU
rnacentral:rRNA from 1 species